rnacentral:rRNA from 1 species
GACGAACGCUGGCGGCGUGCUUAACACAUGCAAGUCGAACGAUGAAGAAGAGAAACGCGAACUUCGGUUCAAAUCUCACUUCGGAUUAGUGGCAGACGGGUGAGUAACGCGUGAGCAACCUACCUCUUACAAAGGGAUAGCCUCGGGAAACCGUGCUUAAUACCCUAUGACACAUUCAUAAGGCAUCUUAAGAAUGUUAAAGCUACGGCGGUAAGAGAUGGGCUCGCGUCCCAUUAGCUAGUUGGUGAGGUAACGGCCCACCAAGGCGACGAUGGGUAACCGGGCGGGGGAGGUGAACGAUCACGUUGGAACUGAGACACGGACCAAACUCCUACGGAGGGCAGCAGUAGGGAGUAUUACACGAUGAAGGGAACUCUAAUGCAGCGACGCCGCGUAAGAGAUGAAGGAAUUCGUAUCGUAAAGCUCUGUUCUAUGAGAAGAAAAGGACGGUACCAGAGGAGAAAGCCCCGGCUAAAUACGUG